ensembl:lncRNA
CUCUCUCUGGAGAUUGCUCUUCAUGGAGUUUUUGUGAGCCUCCAACAUUGCUAUGGGUUCUGAUCUGAAGAGUAUGGCCCCAGCAGCAGGAAUUUGCAAGACCAGGCAGCACUAAAAUUCUGGGAAUCUGCUGAGAUCUGAGGUGGACUACGUGCUCCUAAGACUCACAGUCCAUGUCAGGCUUCAUCUCAUCAAAAUGAAUGGUGUCUCUUUAUGGCCUGGCAUGUACCGGCAGAAGGUUCUAAGUUACACCAAUGGGACAUUUAAACCUGCCCUAAAAUGCGUUUCAGGUAGGAACAGAAUGACUGUGGAGCAGCCUGCAAUGCCCAUUUGUCGAUUUCCUUGCACUGCACAUGAUCAAUCUGCAUUGCCAUGGGUAAUUUUUGCUGCAAAAGGUGCCUUGUACCAGCUUGUUGAAGCACCAUGGGAAGACACACAAACCACUUGUUUACUCUCUCCAUUUCUAGGAGGUUGGAAGAACCAAACCAUGCUAGAAACAGAACCGCUGCAAGCCAGGCAGCUGAACAGUCAGAGCUUAUGGGGGAAUCCUAGGAGGACUAUUGGAUUGAGAUUUGAGGGCUCAUCAGAGCAGAACAUUGGAUGCAGAGUUCAAAGUGCCCUUGUGUGGGUCCAUUCAGAAGCCACUCAGCAGACCACAGGCGCAUACCUUACAGAUGCAAAACCAGGACUGCUCCUACUUUGGCUCUGACUCCUGGUCGUCACACGUGUGACCUCAAAGCUACUGCACACCAUUGUGUACCUGCAGACUUACUGGAGCAAAGCCUCCAAAUGGCAAAUGGAAAAGCCAUCUGGACUUGUCCACGGCCCUGUUAACUCUCAUGGUGCUGCCUUGGCUGUAGUCAACCACCUCUAGCAGGAGGAAAUGUGAUCCUUAACAAAACCAGAGAAGCUUAUCAAGUCACUGAGCAAACCUACAGUGUCCCUUGUACAGGCAGAGAUUCUUCUGAAGCCCCAUCAGAAUUUCUGGUCCAGUCAUCUGCCUCAUUUCUCUCUGUUCAACAUCUGUGGUGCUUUUGUUCAGCAGGAAAAAGCAAAGAUGUUUAAAAGAAAACAAAAAACAGAGCACAAUGCAAACAAACCAAAUUAAAGAAAACGUUUUAAAGCAUUUCCUUGCUCACAAGAUGUGAGAUGGUCAUGUGUUUAAAACUGCAAUAUUAUUUCUGGCAACCGGUCUUGUGAUAUCCUUUUGUUGAUUUUUCCAACCUCUCAAGAAACUGGAAUGAAAAUAUUUUACUGAUGUUACCAUCCCUGGGAACGGUUUGUCAACGCUGACCCAGGUUAAUGCUGCAAACUCAAAAUAUUUGGCAUGUGCUUUUGUAUUUUUCCUUCAUCGAAGAGAUUAUACGGGGUGAAGGUCUGUUCACAUGAAAGCAGUGAGAGAUACCGGCAGUGUACUUAGCAAAACAAGAGGGGCCCUUUUAUAAAUGUGUGUGCAUAUAUGCAAAUAUGC